UCCUGUCUAUACUUCACCUUUGUUCCAGAGUUUUUCAUAAGUUUUCAAAAUAAAACUCAGAGUUCCCAGCAAUGAUUCUCUCAAGUCUCUCUAUAUGUGGUAUUUGUGGAUCCUUACCAAAAUGUCACUUACCUAUAGCUAAUGGAAUAUUUAAGUGGAGCUCAUAGGAGUGAAAAACAGCUCAUACAUGUGUUGUCUAAUCGAGCCAUGGAUCCAAAGGAACUCAGCAUAUAAUUAAAUCAAGAUGUGCAUGUGUGGUGGAGUAAAUGAUAGUGAUGGUAAAAAUGUAUAAGUGAUAAUAAAACUUACUUCUCAUUGCUUCUCAUAUUGCUAUCUCUUCUCUUCUUUGAUCUUUGCUUUGGGAGAACAUGGGCUAUCUUUUUCUCUUUUUUUCAGGUGGGUAGUAGAUACCCCUAAUUCUACUGUCGGACACUUGUCCAUUUUUCCGCUCAAGUGGGCAUCUUUGUACCCCUAAUUCUACUCCGGACACUUGUCCAUUUUUACCUCUCAUCUCACUCUUUUUCUUUCUUUUUCGAGGUUCCGGGCACUUGCCCCUUUUUAUUUCCUCGCAUAUUUUUGCAUAACCCAUGCCUCUUUUGCAUUGAAUCUUUUUAGAGAGAGGGAAUAACAAUAUUUGGGAUAGUGAGUGAUAAUAUUUUUAGCAAUUUUAAUGAAUGGUGGUGGAUUGUAUAGUGGAUGUGUGCAAGUGAAUAUCUUAAUUUAACCACAUGGAAAGCUCCUAAGGGUCUACACAGCUCGGUCAAACUCAAUUUGAAUAUAAGUAAAAGAUGUUAUAGCAAGUAUGGCUGUGGUAGGAAUUUUGUUAUGCUAGGAACUCAUCAUGUGAUUUGUAAGUUUUCAAAAUAAAUCUCCAGAACUUAGUGUAGU
rnacentral:lncRNA from 1 species